rnacentral:rRNA from 1 species
CCUACGGGAGGCAGCAGUAGGGAAUAUUGCUCAAUGGGGGAAACCCUGAAGCAGCAACGCCGCGUGGAGGAUGAAGGUUUUCGGAUCGUAAACUCCUUUUGUUAGAGAAGAUAAUGACGGUAUCUAACGAAUAAGCACCGGCUAACUCCGUGCCAGCAGCCGCGGUAAUACGGAGGGUGCAAGCGUUACUCGGAAUCACUGGGCGUAAAGAGCGCGUAGGCGGGAUAGCAAGUCAGAUGUGAAAUCCUAUGGCUUAACCAUAGAACUGCAUUUGAAACUGUUAUUCUAGAGUAUGGGAGAGGUAGGUGGAAUUCUUGGUGUAGGGGUAAAAUCCGUAGAGAUCAAGAGGAAUACUCAUUGCGAAGGCGACCUGCUAGAACAUAACUGACGCUGAUGCUCGAAAGCGUGGGGAGCAAACAGGAUUAGAUACCCGUGUAGUC